GGGAAAGACAACAUUUCUUUUGGCUCUUGCAGGUCGCCUUGCACCAAGUUUGCAGAUGUCAGGGAAAGUUACAUAUAAUGGACAGAGUCUAGAAGAGUUCACUCCUCAGAGGACAUCAGCAUAUGCAAGUCAGCAGGAUUUACACAUCGCAGAGAUGACCGUGAGAGAGGUGCUUGAAUUUGCAGGAUCCUGUCAGGGUGCCGGAUUCAAGAAUGAAAUUCUCAUGGAACUUCUUAGAAGAGAAAAAAUUGCUGAA